UUCACCAUAUUUAAAAAAAAAAUCAUUUAAUAUAAACAACUAAACUGAUACAAAAGAAUUCAACCAGACACGCACACUCACUUAAGCAAAGGGUUUAUGGGAGGGGGGAGGGGGAGGGUGAAGCCGUCUGGAUGAUCUUGUGGAUUGCGAGUUCUAGCAUGUGGUGAUACACUGGUGGAAUGGAACUUUGCUAUACGAAGUAAUGUUGUAGCACGUGAUGGUGGAUGCGUAUGGGGCAGAGGGACACCACCACGUUUUGGUCACUCAUCCUGUUUGCAAAGUGUCAGAACCUGGCUCAGAAUCUGUAGCAACAAUAACAUGUUCUCUGAUCUAGUGGAGGAUCCGGAGAAUGUAGAUUCUGUUCAAGAAAAGUCACAGGGAUUCAUAUAUGAAAAAAUAAAUAAAUAAAAUAGAAAAUAAAAGUAAAAGCCUUUAGCCUACCUACCCUACCAAACUUCUUGAAACAGCAUACAUCUUCUGCACAUAAAAAACAGCUAAUAACAGUGUGACAAGACAACAAAAUUAUAUCAUGAAACAUAUAACAUCAUUAUCAGUGGCAUAUGCACAGACAGAAACAUAUAAUACAUUAAAUUCUUACUCCGUAACUUUAGUUUUAACUCUGCAGUACUUAACUCAGUCUUCAAGCCCAGUUCCCUCUGGUGGAGACGAAAGGCCGAAUCUUUCUACAUCUUGGCAGUGACUGCUGGUUAUAUGGGACAGAUCAGAGUCUGCGCCUCGCUGUAAAUUUUUUUGAGUAAUUUUUGGGUAAGAAUUUUUUUUAUACAAACCUUAAUUAAUCUCCAGGUACUCGGUUCCCGUUCUAAACCUAUCACAAUGGAUCUGACCAAGGAGGAAAGUGGGUCGCUUUAUGUUUUUUUUCUCUCUCCCUCUUCUUUUUUUUUUCUUUUCCCUUUUAAGAACUAACUUGCCAGUCUGCAUUUCCUUUUCAUACUUUUUUUUUUUAAGAUUAACCUAAUUUAUAUAUAUUUUUUAUUAUUAUUAUUAUUCUGUUAUCUUUUAAAAUGACCUGCCAUGAAUUCUGAUCACUGACUUAAUUUUCUCUCCAAGGAAUCGCCACUGACUCUAUCAAGAAAACCCAAAACUCAAUUCAAGCAGACUGGUGCCAAACUGGACAACAUCCUCCAUUUUGAAGUGUCGCCAACAGUCUCCUUUCCAUGCGUGAGUAGCAAUCAGGCACACUUUACUGACAAGCAACUGGGGAAAAAGUGAGCCCAACCACGGCCCACUCCACGAGGGAGACUGCUGGCACCGCUUCUUGUCGUGAAAUGUACAUCUCAUGGCGUAGGCCAACACAGUUCAGUAGGUUGUCCCAGAGGUAAGCUAGCACACUUUUAAGGUUAUUUUGCCUGAAUAUUGGUAGUUGUAUCUAACCCUAAAGAUCGAGCAGUAGCUUAACCUUCUUUCAACCUGUACAUUGUUCCUUAAACUGGAAAAAAACAUUUAAGACAUUGUUCCUCUGAGUUUAGUAUUAUCGUAUGACUGAUUGCAUUGAAUUGAGGUCAUUUGAGGUCUCCACUGUUACCUAUCAAACCAUCAGUCAUUGAGAAGUUCUCUUUCUACUGAAACCAUGAAAAAAAAAACUAUUUACAACUUAAAUGUACCUCAGUAUCAUGGCAAACUUGUUCAUAAUCAGUUAUACAUAGAUAUCUCUAUUCAACACUUGCACUUGUAGCACAAAUCUCACAAAAGUUUAGUUAAAUGUGGCAGUUUACAGCUGUACCCUCUGGAAAAGAGGGAAACUAAUCCAAAUCUUUCACGUCAUUAACAAGAGACAGGCAACAUUAGGGUGCAACCUCUCUAUUGCAAUGAGAUACAGAUCAACUCGAAAACUUAAAAUCAAUAAGAAUAAGGGCAAGACACCAUAGUUGUCAUUUACUUUAUAAUCAAGUGUAUAAAAAAAAACAAAGCACAAAGAAAUUUUGUUCAUAGGAAAUGGAAUAUGUGUUGCAUUUAAUCUAAUAGAAAGUAAUGAUAAACAACACAGGGAUAAUAUGAACUUCUUGAGGAUAGGUGUACCUGUAAUGCUAAUAUUGAUAAUGUUGCAAACUCAAAAUACAUACAUUAACUACACUGUUGUUGAAAACCAGAUGAUACACCAAACAAAUAGCCAAACCAACAUGUAUUUUUUUUCUUUUUACAUUGGACAUGACAAAAAAAAAUCUCUGUGUACAAUCUGACACCCUUGUUAGUUGUAUGAGAUGGUACUGGAUUAAAUAAGUUAAUAAAUAGUUAAAUAGAUAAAUAGAUGAGUCUUGGUUAAUUUCCCCACAACGUCAGGGUGUUUUUAGUGUGUCUAACAGGGCUUACAGACAGAUCAGUUGUUCUACGACCCAUAUAAAAUAUUUAAUGCAGUCAUGUUGAAUAUUUUCUCGGUGAUAUAAAUAGGUUCAGAUGACAAAUUUUUUAAAAAUUCCUUCUUCAUAUACUUUGAAAAUCAUUUCUUUGGAUUCAUUAUUCUUUCACCAAUUCUAGAAGUUCAAUUUUAGGUCAUUAGCCAAUGUCUAGGAAAUUAUUUAGCUUGACAUUCAACCUUUUCACCUUCAUUUUAAGAGAAUUCAUAAUUUCUAAUUUCAUUCACUCUACCAAUAACAUUCUGUAUAUACUUUUCCUCUCUCUUUUAAAUUGCUUAUGAUCUUAAAAUUGUAAAUGGAUCAGCACACUUUUCCCUUGGGUUACGACACUAAAAGACACUCAAAUCUGACUUCACAAGAAAACCUAAAAUCAAAAAAAAAAAAAAAAAAAAAAA